UGACCUCGGAUCAGGUAGGAAUACCCGCUGAACUUAAGCAUAUCAAUAAGCGGAGGAAAAGAAACCAACAGGGAUUGCCCUAGUAACGGCGAGUGAAGCGGCAACAGCUCAAAUUUGAAAUCUGGCUCUCGGGCCCGAGUUGUAAUUUGUAGAGGAUACUUUUGAUGCGGUGCCUUCCGAGUUCCCUGG
rnacentral:ncRNA from 1 species